rnacentral:snRNA from 1 species
GUGUGAAACGCAUACCCCAAUAA